UGGGGAAUAUUGCACAAUGGGCGCAAGCCUGAUGCAGCCAUGCCGCGUGUGUGAAGAAGGCCUUCGGGUUGUAAAGCACUUUCAGCGAGGAGGAAGGGUGGUGUGUUAAUAGCACAUUACAUUGACGUUACUCGCAGAAGAAGCACCGGCUAACUCCGUGCCAGCAGCCGCGGUAAUACGGAGGGUGCAAGCGUUAAUCGGAAUUACUGGGCGUAAAGCGCACGCAGGCGGUUUGUUAAGUCAGAUGUGAAAUCCCCGCGCUUAACGUGGGAACUGCAUUUGAAACUGGCAAGCUAGAGUCGUGUAGAGGGGGGUAGAAUUCCAGGUGUAGCGGUGAAAUGCGUAGAGAUCUGGAGGAAUACCGGUGGCGAAGGCGGCCCCCUGGACAAAGACUGACGCUCAGGUGCGAAAGCGUGGGGAGCAAACAGG
rnacentral:rRNA from 1 species